rnacentral:rRNA from 1 species
UACGGAGGUGGCAAGCGUUACUCGGUUUGACUGGGUGUAAAGGGUCCGUAGGCGGCUAAAUAAGUGAAAGGUGAAAUCUCUCGGCUCAACCGAGAAACUGCCUUUCAAACUGUUUGGCUUGAGGCUGGAAGAGGAAAGCGGAACUGCCAGUGUAAGGGUGAAAUCUGUGGAUAUUGGCAGGAACGCCUGUGGAGCAAUCGGCUUUCUGGUCCAGAUCUGACGCUCAGGGACGAAAGCUAGGGGAGCAAACAGGAUUAGAUACCCUGGUAGUCCUAGCUGUAAACGAUGGGCACUAGGUGUUCGUCUUUAAGAUGAGUGCCGCAGGUAACCCGUUAAGUGCCCCACCUGGGAACUACGGCCGCAAGGCUAAA